rnacentral:misc_RNA from 1 species
CUGUAGCUUAACUGCUGUGUAAUAUCUCCAUAGUUGGACGCAUUAGCGAGUAGGAAGCAAAGCAAUGGAUCCGUACCCAUCGUCCUCAUCUCUAAUAGCCCAGAAAACCUGGGAACUUGAGAACAAUAUAAUCACAGUGGAUACUCCCCCUGCCUCCACCAAUUCGGCGGCGGACGCCUCGUCGGACUCCAUUUUCUACUACGAUGAGACGGCGCAA